rnacentral:rRNA from 1 species
AUUGAACGCUGGCGGCGUGCUUAACACAUGCAAGUCGAUCGGUAACGCGGGGGCAACCCUGGCGACGAGAGGCGGACGGGUGAGGAACGCUUGGGAAUCUGCCUAUCAGCGGGGGACAACCCGGGGAAACUCGGGCUAAUACCGCAUACGCUCUACGGAGGAAAGCCGGGGACCGCAAGGCCUGGCACUGAUAGAUGAGCCCAAGUCGGAUUAGCUAGUUGGCGGGGUAACGGCCCACCAAGGCGACGAUCCGUAGCUGGUCUGAGAGGACGAUCAGCCACACUGGGACUGAGACACGGCCCAGACUCCUACGGGAGGCAGCAGUGGGGAAUAUUGGACAAUGGGGGAAACCCUGAUCCAGUGACGCCGCGUGGGUGAAGAAGGCCUGCGGGUUGUAAAGCCCUUUCGGUAGGGACGAAAGCUCUCGACCUAACACGUCGGGAGGUUGACUUAACCUACAAAAGAAGCACCGGCUAACUCUGUGCCAGCAGCCGCUGUAAUAC